GCGUCACUGGGUCCUGGUAGAGUCCCAGGCAGAUGGCGCAGGUCAGCUUCUCCUCCAGUAGCUGCGCGGCCAUGGCCCGGCGGCGGUGGGGGCCAGGCGGGCCCCGGAAUUCUUAAAGGGACAGCUGGCCUCGCGUACUGAGGGCGCCCGGGCGUGGCUAACGCGGGGCGGGGCGAGGCUAGGUCCCUGCCCCGGAAGGCGGAGGGGUGCGGCGGGCCCUUCUCCGACACCUUCGACCAGCGACGUCCGCAGGGGCCUAGGCCACCCCUGCCCGCCUCGGCCUGGGCCGCUGGAAGGCUCCGCGUUCCGGCCUUGCGCCCCUCCCUCUCUCUAGGCACCGCGCCACCCCGGCUGAGAGCUGGGUUCGGAUCUCUCGGGUCCCAGCCUGGCGGGUCCAUCCCACCCCUUUGGGCCUUCAGCCCAGGUCCUGGAGAGCAGAGACUCGAAAAUCCCGCCCCGCCUCCGGGCUUCUGACCACGGGUUGCGCGGAAUCUCUUCUGGACUCAUCUGUCAAUGGCCUAACUGCAUAGACCACCCGCGCAAUCCCCCGGGGCUCGGCGAUGAAACGAAAGUCAGUGCACGUGGGCGGGCGGGCUCCCUGCAGACCCGAGCACUGCUGCACUUUUUCCUGGAGCUGGGUUUCGGGCACUUGCCAGACUGGGGUGUCUUCCUUCUCUGGGCUACACGUAAUUUUGGUUAUUUUAAAGUAAACAGCGAGAUGGAAAUGUCUGGUCACCAACAGACAGGGACCAGUUAACUGGUAUUUUUCAAACGGCCCUUGAAUGAGUACACAAACCAGCUUUCAGCUGCAAUCAGCAUCCCUUCUCCCUGCUGCCCUCUGCUGGGGAGAGUUUCUGGCCUGGGGUCCGAGCUGAUCUGCAGCCUCAGUAUUGAGAGGCACUCCAGCGUUUCCCCUGCGGCUGAGCAGGCAAGGCGGGUCUGGGGCCUAGCGCCCACCUCCCCGGCAGUGUGUAUCAGGCCAGGGGGAACCCCGGGAGAGCAAGGCCUUUCUAUCUAACCAAGCUGGGCUGAUGCUGAGGCGGCACGAGCUCUCACUGCUGCAGCAAGCACUGCGUCCUGUGUGCGGCCACAGGCGAAGUUUCUUUCUGGAAAAAGUGCACGGAUCUACCCUCCACCUACUAGUUAGCCAGACUUCUGCUUUUGGGCAGGCGAGGCCUGGGAGCUCAGGCCCACCCAGUGCCCCAGCCCCAUGGCCCUUACCCAGAAGCUGGUGGAAGAUGUGCGUGACGGAGUCAUCCCAGCGGCACUGGAAGAAGGACAACCCGGCUGGCGUCAUGGCUUCUUGGUGUUUCUUGUAGAAAUCAAAAGUGCGGAAGGUCCGCUGGGCCAGCUGAUAGCUGACAGAGGAGGCAGCCCAGCUCUGUGAAUGCCUGGACAUACCGCAAACACGGGAAGCGGGCUGGAGGAGCUCCGAGUGGGGGACGGGGCUCCAGAGAGCGCCACCUUGACAGCAAAGCCAUGCAGCCUGCUUCCAGGCCCCAGGAGCCGGGGGUCAGCCACAGCCACGGAGGCUAGAAAGCCAUGCCACUUCUGGCUGCUUUUCCCUCUGCGUCAGCCACAGCCACGGAGGCUAGAAAGCCAUGCCACUUCUGGCUGCUUUUCCCUCUGCGUCCCGAAGUCUCCAGGACCUCGUCGGGGAUUGUGUGCCCAGCCUGGCACAGAGACGGCCAAUGCCUCAGGCACAACUCCCCAGAGGGUCCUGCUGCACACAGGUUGGUAACUGCAGUUGAAUAAAAAUGACAGAAACCAGCCUCCCAGUCACUGUCCCCAAUUAACCAGAAGGCUCAAAGUUGGGGUCACUGGCCUGACCUCUGCCCCCUGGCCUGGUGUUCAGAGCCAAAAGCUACCGAGACGAUAGAAGGCAGCCUCGUCUGGGCCCAGGGAAGGAGUGCCCAGUGGUUCAAGGAGCACCUGGGAGAUGCCACAGCUGCCAGGCCUCUCCUGCUCCUUCUCUCAUGUGACCGUCAGUCCACAUGAGUGGACUGUGUCACUCACUCACUCAGGCUGAGUAAGGCACAUGGUGCCAUUAUCCCAGUUUUACAGGUGAAGAAAUGAGUUUAGAGAGACGAAGGGGCCAGGCAUGGUGGCUCAUGCUUGUAAUCCUAGCACUUUGGGAGGCAGAGGUGGGCAGAUCGCUUGAGCUCAGGAG